rnacentral:tRNA from 1 species
CGUCAGGUAGCUCAGUGGUCUAGAGCAGUCGCCCGGCAAGCGAAAGACACAGAUUCGAUUCCCGGUCUAGCGA